rnacentral:lncRNA from 1 species
UUUUUCUUUCUUUCGAACACCAAGCUUAACCUGUGCAUGCACAACUCAUAACCAUAGACCCCAACACUAGAGUUCUCAUCAUCUACUCUCGUGGGGCAACAUACAUUAGGCUUGGCUUUUCCUGUCUCAUAAUAAAACAUACAUAAGGACCAUGUACAAAGGGAUUAACCACACUUCCAGGGCAAAGCACAACUCUAUCUAUUACAUUACAUCAU